rnacentral:rRNA from 1 species
AGUGAACGCUGGCGGUAGGCCUAACACAUGCAAGUCGAACGGCAGCACAGUAAGAGCUUGCUCUUACGGGUGGCGAGUGGCGGACGGGUGAGGAAUACAUCGGAAUCUACUCUUUCGUGGGGGAUAACGUAGGGAAACUUACGCUAAUACCGCAUACGACCUACGGGUGAAAGCAGGGGAUCUUCGGACCUUGCGCGAUUGAAUGAGCCGAUGUCGGAUUAGCUAGUUGGCGGGGUAAAGGCCCACCAAGGCGACGAUCCGUAGCUGGUCUGAGAGGAUGAUCAGCCACACUGGAACUGAGACACGGUCCAGACUCCUACGGGAGGCAGCAGUGGGGAAUAUUGGACAAUGGGCGCAAGCCUGAUCCAGCCAUACCGCGUGGGUGAAGAAGGCCUUCGGGUUGUAAAGCCCUUUUGUUGGGAAAGAAAGGCAGCAGGUUAAUACCCCGCUGUUCUGACGGUACCCAAAGAAUAAGCACCGGCUAACUUCGUG